rnacentral:rRNA from 1 species
GCUAGCAGCUGUAUCACCCUGAAACUCAAAACUGGCAGCCCACUGGAGCUCAGCAGGUGUGAGCCUGGCCAGUACCUGAAGGGGAGACCUCCUGGGAAAGCUGAGGUUGCUGCUGGAU